UUGAUUUCUUUGUUGAGAUGCCAUGAUCACGAAGGUGGUUUUUCCAGGGUGAGGCUCAUCCAUUGCACUGCGGGUGUGCUGACCCCUGCGAUUUCUCCAAAUGCGGGAAACUCGACUGCAUAAUUUGUGGUAGUGGGGGACUGCGUUCGCGCUCUCCCCCG
rnacentral:snRNA from 1 species